GCCCAGGUGGUGGAAUUGGUAGACACGCUACUUUGAGGGGGUAGUCGCCGUAGGGCGGUGCAAGUUCAAGUCUUGUCCUGGGCA
rnacentral:tRNA from 1 species